rnacentral:rRNA from 1 species
CCUAAAUAAGCUUAUUUAGGAACCACCCUCCUAACCUGUUUCUUUUCCCGAAGGGAGCGACCGAGCGAGCGAGCGGCACGGUAGCGACGCGAGGGAGCGAGCGAGCUCUGGUCUGCCGCCGGCUGUUGCGUGCCCCCAGCCACCCCAACCACCUUCUCCACGUGCCGGCGCUGCCGCUUGCCGCUAGAUGCAGCCAGUCCUGGCCAUGCCGCCGCCUCGCGUGUAGUACUCCAACACCGGCCGACGCAGCCGCGCUCCACCACCAACCCGCCCGCGCGCACCAUUCUUUGACCUCCCCCGCUUCUACAGGCAGUCUGCUGCGUGCGGUGCUCCUCCAGGUUCCUCCCUGGCUUCCCCACUUGCGUCGCAGGCCACAACCCCUCCUCCCUCCUGCAUCCUGCCACGCGACAGUCUGCAGCGGGCUUCCUCUCCACGCCAUUCCGACCACCAGAUCCACGCGAGCUCGCCCUUUAGCCAUGGUUUCGGGCGUUGACUCUCGCCACUGUGCCUUCCCGGCCCCAUCGAAGCCAGGUGCCGCUGCCGUGGGGAGGUGGGUGGAGAGCACCCUUCUUUAGGCCCGUGGUGGGUGGCCUACUCCCUCUCCGGUGACAUAGCCCUGCCCAUCUCGGAUCUAGCUCCAGUGACACCUUCCCCAUGCCAUCGUUCCAGUGGAGGCGCAGAAGCUUGUUCCGGUGGUGACUUCCUGCUUUUCAGUUAACUUUAGUAGCGCUAAAACUCUUUGCCUCCUUCAGUUAACUUGCUCUUCAUGUCCUAGAUGGAUCUCGUCCUCGAGCAGUUCAUGGUGUGGAUCUCCGGCGGUUAGCUUUUGGGUUUCUUCUACUCCUCCGACCUGGGCUCUGUAGUCUGCAAUUAUUUGGGGGUUAUCUGUAGCUACUAGUUUGCUUGAACUGAAUAAGGAGUUGACUGAGCCGGCCAUUUCAGUUAGCUCAAACCGAAGAAAAAAAGGUGUGUUACUUGUCUAUUUGGAUACUUGGGUAGCCACUGAAUUUUACUGUUGAGGUCUAAUAUGUGUCAGGGCAUCUAAACUGCAGCAUUUACUGACGUGAUGUGUAUAGGUUACAAGGAUGCGUGUAUGUGUACUUGGAUGUUCAGUUCUUACUUGCAAAUAAUGUUGUGUCAAGAGUCAACACAUCCCUGUCCGGUUUAUUAUUUUGGGGAUCCAGUGAUUUUUUUUCCUGUUAGCAGUUAACUUCUGCUCCGUUGCGUCGGGGACCGACGAGGUGCUGGACCCCUCAUGGGGAUUUACUGGUGGAGCGACCUCUCUACAGCUAGCUCAAUUUCAUGGAUAAGUUAGCUAAGUUUCAAGGAGCAGUUUGCUUUACUGAUAGUUAUGUAAAAAAAGAAACAGAGACCACUGCUCAAUUAUCUCUUGCCCCCAUGCUACCAGCAGUGUGAUCCACGGUGCGCAGUUUGCCAAUGCUCAAUUUCAUGGAGUAGUUAGUUCAGGGACUGGCUGCAGUUAUCUUGCUUCCAAAAAAAUUAAGUGAUGUACACAACUAUGAUUUUGCCAAGCCCCUGCUUGCGUGAG